rnacentral:rRNA from 1 species
CCUACGGGAGGCAGCAGUGAGGAAUAUUGGUCAAUGGGCGAGAGCCUGAACCAGCCAAGUCGCGUGAGGGAGUACUGCCCUAUGGGUUGUAAACCUCUUUUGUCGGGGAGCAAAAGCCGGACGUGUCCGGCGGUUAGAGUACCCGAAGAAAAAGCAUCGGCUAACUCCGUGCCAGCAGCCGCGGUAAUACGGAGGAUGCGAGCGUUAUCCGGAUUUAUUGGGUUUAAAGGGUGCGCAGGCGGCUUUUUAAGUCAGCGGUAAAAUCGUGGGGCUCAACCCCAUCCAGCCGUUGAAACUGGGGAUCUAGAGUGUGCGAGAGGUAUGCGGAAUGCGUGGUGUAGCGGUGAAAUGCAUAGAUAUCACGCAGAACCCCGAUUGCGAAGGCAGCAUACCGGUGCACAACUGACGCUCAGGCACGAAAGCGUGGGUAUCGAACAGGAUUAGAUACCCCAGUAGUC